GCUCAGCGCUGUGCAAAAAUAAAGUUCCUACUUUCUUCCACCACACCCGGUGUCAGAGAUUGGCUUGCUGUGCCACGGGUGAGCGAACUCACUUCAGGUUCGGUGACAAUGACAUCAGCAUGGCCGUACCCAAUGGCAUUGCCCAGCAAAUCUCACUCAGCCAAUCAGCAGUGUUGAUCUGAUGGCUGAUGUCCACCCCCUCCUGAAGGACUUUCCCCAACGGACCUCUGGGACCCAUCCUCCCGGUCCUCAGCCCCCUCUGGUCCUUCUGGGGCUCGGUCCUCAGAUCUCUCAUCUCUGUGGACACUGCCUCCCGGGGUGAGCUCAUCCAGUCUGGUGGCCUUAAAUACCAUCUCCACGUUGACAACUCCGAAAUUUAGUUCUUUAGCCCAGACAUCACUCCAGAUUCCAGAGUCAUAAAUCCAGCUGCUUACUUGCCACCUCCACUUGGAUGUCUGAGUGACGUGUCCAAUGUGAUGUACCCAAAGCUGAGUUCCGGCUGUCCUGACCUUGACCCGCUUCUCACGGCCGGCCGCUUCUCAGUAAACAGCAGCUCCAUCCUUCCCGCUGCUCAGGACAAGUCACAGGAAUCAUCCUCGCUCCCCUCGCUCUUAAACCCCACAGCAAUUUAUCAGUAAUUCUUUAGCUCUGCCUUCAAGUUACAUCCAGGAUCUAUCCCAUUUUUUUUUUUUACCACCUCUUCCACCUGCGUCCUCAUCUGAGCCAGCACCAUUGCCUGAAUUAGUGAAAUGGCUUCCUGUUUCUACCCUCGUGCUUCCCUCCCCUCUCCCCCAAGAAGCCGGAUCCUUUCAGAAGAUUAGUCAUAUUAUGUCACUCCCUUGAUGAACACCCUUCAGUGGCUUCCUAUCACACUCGGAAUAGAGCCCACAUCCUUCCUCUGACCUGAGAGAACCUCUAAGUGCCGCCCCCAUUUAUCUCUCUGGCCGCCUCUUCCCACAUUCUCCCUCCCGCUGGUGGCUCACUCUGCUCCAGCCGCACUGGCCUCUCUGAUUGGACACCAGUGGACAAUCUGCUCUGGCACAGGCCCGCUGCACUCUCCAUCAAGCCUCAUCCGUCCUUCCAAACCUUACAGGUGUGAACUCAUCAGACCAGAGGAGAUGGCACCAGUGUGCGUCCCCAGAGGAAAAAGGAAACCAGAGGAACCGGGGAUGCAGAACCUGGAGAAGAGGCCUCUGCAGGGGAUGCCAAGCCUUCACAUAGAGAGCGCGCUUGCAUCUUGACGCCUCCCCACCAGCCACUGUACCGCUUCACGAUGUGCAGGGAGCCAUCCUGCCCCUAAGCGGCUUAAAACCUGGGAGAGAGACCAGCCGCGUGCGGGGAGAAUCGGAGGAUGUCCCAACGCGAAACUUUGUAGAAACAGCUGUAGGUGCUACAGAAAUUACAGGACCACCGUCUGUACCACAACCACCUGGCCACCAUCGCUAGUGUAGGACACACUAUUUGGCAGAGUUUCCAUCGAGAAUAGCAUCUGGGCCUGAAGGUCAGAGGAAGUUUUGUUGGUUAAGUGGGAAGAAGAAAAGAGGACAUCCCGGGAUGGGGGGGAAUUGACAGCAGGAGCAAAGGCGGGAGUGGUGCUGGUCCCCACAGGCCGGAGCAGACCUGCCCAGUUGAAGCGUGGCAUGCACUGGCCGCUGAGAAACGACCCAGACCUGGGGCAGAGCCAGUCCCUGGGAGCUCCGACAGCCGCACAGAGGAGUUUGUCCUCAGUGCCGGCCUCAUGCUGGGAGGGAAGCCGCAUGUCAGAAAAUGGGCCGAAAGCAGAGCCGGGCCUUGCAGGAGGGCCAGCGAGGACACAGUUGGUGACAACGGGGUCUGAAGCGAGGAGAUCGUGAAACUGGAGAAGGGCAGCCGUGAGCAAUGCAGGAGGGUCCAGGCCUGGUGAAGGCGAUGGAGGAGCGACGGAGGGAAGGAGGAAGCAGACAUCGCUGGCCCAGCUUCACCUGGCAGCCCUCUGCCUCCCCCUGGGCGCUCGCCGGCCGCGCCAGGCAUCGGACAGUCACCGGGCAUGGACCAUGCGCCAGCACCGGGCCUCACCGCGUGGGCCCGAGGCCCCUCCACGCCACAGCGGAGGGCUCUCUCCUCCUGGAGGGCUGAUGGGAACAAGGUUCCUUGCCAUAAUCUCGGAGCCCCUUCCAGGGGACAGGCUGUGUGUCUGUACCAUCAAGGCAAUGCUGACUCAGAAAGUCAUUGUCCACAAUCCUUUGGUUUAGAAGCCACCGUAGCCUGCUCUUUUGAUAUGACCCACACGACCACACUUUUUUUAAAGGAGAGCUGAGGGGAGAGCUUGUCCACUCGCAUCCAAAUAGGGUAAAAGAUAAUGCAGAGUGGAUGUCCCCGAGGCUCUUGACUUUGGCCCUUGGUGAGAGAAGCGGGUCAGGACUUUCCCCACCCUCCGCACCUGCUGCGGGGUCUGUGGUUGCAAGCUCAGGGCGCAGCGCCGGCCCCUAGCUGCACACCCCUCUGCAGCCCGUCUUCGGGGUUUUGAGACUGGAGGGUUGCACGAUCCCAGCUUUAGGUGGAGGGCUGAAGAGAUUAGGGGAAUACCUGACAGUCAACAGAAGGGAAUAAAGAGCAAGGAAGCACUUCGCUCAGACUCGGCUUCUCUGUACCUUCCACUCUCAUCUCCCUGUGGCCGUGUCCCCCUCCUGGGGAUGGGGAGGUGGGGAAGCUCCCUCCCACCUGGCAGCAGCCUCCAGAGACCCGUGCCCAAGAGGACAAGGAACCUGACCCCGCCGUCUGUCUCCUCCUGCACCGCCAAGCCCAGCCCCCGGCAAGGAGGAAUUAGAUCGCCCUGACAAGAUUUGUGCUGUCAGAGAGCGGGUUUUAUUUUUACCCUCCAGCCUGUGAUCUUCCAGGUGUCUGCGAACUGACUUAGAAAUCAAGUAAUUACCCUUUGCCUUCCCACCUGCACGUCCCCGGCGAGGUGGCUCUAGUGAGGGAGCUGCUGACCUCUGCAGGGUCUGAACUGAGCUGGAAUCUUGUCCCUUCCAAGCCCUGUCAAUCUGGGCUGGUUUUUUUACCCUCUGCGGGUCUCAGUCUCCUUAUCUGUAAAACACGCGGCGUUAGAUGGUCUCUGUGGUGUGAAAGAAUAAAAGCACGAAGGUUUUAAAAAAAUGCAUCCACUUGAGUGCACUCUGUUUUAUCUUUUCUUCUCCCCAUUUAUAAAAAGGACAACAUCUUAUUUCUGCAGAUCUGAGAACAUUUGUCACAUUUUGCAAUUUUAUUGUCGUUACCGAACAGAGGGAAUGAGUAACAGAGGAAAAAACAAAUGAGUAGAACAGCACAAGAGACAAAAAGGUCUGGUUUGCCAAGAUGGAAAGACCCCGCCUUUUGCUUCAAAGGCCCAGCUUUGCAGACCCAGCUCAGCCCUCGCUUCACUGGCUGACUGCCCCGCAGCCUUCGGCGAGGCCUAUCUCUCUGGCUCUCCCUCCCGGUGACUUGACACCUUUGGGGUUAAGAGCAAAUGGAUCAACAUGAGAUGGUCUUGCUGGGCCAUCUGAGGGCCACAGGGGUGGCAGGACAAGAAUUCUGCCCUGCUGACCAGCACCCAUGGAUCAGCUGCAGGAUAAAGGGACCUUCGGUAAGCACUAACUGCAGGACCAUCACUGGCCCUCUAGCAGCUCAGAGCAGGGAGGUAAGGAGAGCUGGAACAGGGGUGCAUGGGGAGCUCCUGCCAUCUGCCAUGCCCGGGAACCAAGAAAGGAAGAGCAUGUCACCCCAGAAGCCAAACUAGUGGACCCAUGGCUCGUUCACGCCUUCCUUCCACUGACGCGUUGAGAACUUCUGUGCCUAGAAAGGAAGGUAAGGAGGUGAAUACAACAGGACUGAGCCCUCCCAGAUGCUCCUUCUGGUAGAAGAGCUUACAAUUUCACACGUGAUGGAAGUUUAAGUGCUUUUCUUUAGGAAGUGUACCUGGGCCCCUCGCUGGCACCUAAUUACUCUUUUUUAAAAAUUAACUUUAUCCAGAUAAAAUUUACGUAUUAUAAAAUUCACCCAUUUUGAGCAUACAACUCAAUGAUUUCUAGUAAGUUUGCAGAGAUGUAUAGACUUCACCACAAUCUGAUUUUAGAAUGUUUUCAUCAUCUCAGCAAAACCCUCAUGCCCAUUUGGAGUUAAUCCCUGUUUGCAUCCCCAGCCAACCCCUUGUGUACUUUUUAUCCCCAUGUUUGACUUUUCUGGACAUUUCAUACAAAUGGAAUCAUAUUGUGUGUAGUCUUUUGUCUGGCUUCCUUCACUCAGCAUAGUACUGCGAGGUCCAUCCAUGUCAUUGCAUGUAUCAGUACUUCUUUCUUUUUUGUGGCUGAAUAAUAUUCCAUUGUAUGAAAAGACCACUUCUUAUUUAUCCAUUCACCAAUUGAUGGACAUAUGAUAGUUUCCACCCUUCGGCUGUUAUGGAUAAUGCUGCUAUGAAUAUCUCCGUGCAAAUCUUUGUGUGGACACAUGUUUUCAUUUCUCUUGGGUAGAAGCCUAGGAGUAGAAUUGUUGGGCUGUAUGGUAAACUGAUGUUUAAAUUUUAAAGAAACUGUCAAACUCUCUUCCAGAGUGGCCGUACCAUUGUCCAUGGUCACACGCAUGUAGAAGAUCUCCCUUUCCUCCACAUCCCCACCAGCACUUGUCAUCAUCUGUCUUUUUGAUGAUAGCCAUCCUAGUGGGUGUGAAGUGGUGCCUCAUUGUGGUUUGAAUUUGCAUUUCCCUAAUGACUAAUGAUGGUGAGCAUCUUUUCAGGUCUUUCGUGAUCAUUCAUAUAUCUUCUUUGGUAAAUUGUCUAUUCGGGUCUUCUGCCCAUUUUUUCAUCCAGUUGUUUAUCUUAUUAUUACUGAAUUGUAGGAAUUCUUUGCAUAUCCCCAGUACAAGUCCUUUAUCAGAUGCAAUUUGCAAAUAUUUCUUUCAGUCUGUGGGCUAUCUUUUCAUUUUCUUAGUGAGCCUCUUUUGAAGUUUUCAAUUCUAAUGAAGUCCAAUUUAUUAAUAUUUUUCUUUUAUGGACGUCUUAGUCCAUUCGGGCCCCUAUAACACAAUGCCACAGGCUGGGUGCCUGAUAAACAACAGAAAUUUACUCUCACAGCUCUGGAGGCUGGACUGCAGGAGCAGGGUGCCAGCAUGGUUACAUUCGAGCGAGGACCCUCUUCUCAGUCCACAGCCAGCGUCUCCUCAAUGUGUCCUGGAAGGGGCGAGGGAGCUCUCAGAGGUCUCUUUUGUAAGGCCACUAAUCCCAUUCACGGGGAGCCCACCCUCAUGACCCAAUCACCUCCCAAAGGCCUCACCUUCCAACACCACCACACUGGGGGUUGGGUUUCAGCAUGCGAAUUUUAGGGGGACACAAACAUUCAGACCACAGCAAUGGAUCACACUUUUCAUGUCAACCAAGAAAUCUGUGCCUAACUCAAGGUCUCAAGGAUUUUCUCCUGUAGUUUCUUCUAAAGCUUCUAUAGUUUUAGCUCUUACAUUUUGAUGUAUAAUUCACUUUGAGUUAAUGUAUUUUAUAAAUUUUUUUUAAAGAUUAGUACCUGAGGUAACAUCUAUUGCCAAGCUUCUUUUUUUUUCUUCU